CUUCUUAAAAAAAUAUAUUUCUUCUUUCUUUGGUUUUCUCUGCAAGUCUCCUAAUCCGGCGAGAACCCUGGCCAGGCACCACCGUCCUCCACCGCGCCGACCAUCGCCGGCCGCCAUGAAGUUCAAAAUUUCCCUUUUUUUAGGUGAAUCGGAGAGUUAAGUUCACUCUCUUCCUUUUCAUUCUUUUUUAUUAUUAUUCUUCUUCUUGAUAAGUUUAUUUAUAAUAGGUUCAAAAAAGAGAAAAUAAAAAGGAAAAAAAUACCUUAAUGCACAUUUGAACCCGAUUUCUUUAAAGUUUGCUUGCUGUUGGUGUUUCCCUUUUCAUAUUUAGAUGUCUGUUUGAAUCAAUGCCUUUGUAUUAUUCAUGUCCAGAAAGAAUACAUUUGAUUUAUAAUGGCUUUUAUAGCCAUUUAUAAUACUUUUUAAUCUAUUUUUUAUGCUUACUGUCACUGUUGCUUGUGUGCAGGUGCAAUUUGAGGGCGGUGGACGUGACAAGGCGAUGUUGCAAGCGGUGGCUGGUCAGAAGACCCUAGGGGCGGCAGCGAGUAGACUAGAGGGUUAGGGUUUCUUUUCUUUGUUUAGGUUUUGGGCUUUUAGAAUAUGGGUUAGGGUUUGUUUUAAUUUAGUAAUUAGGCUAAUUUGGGUUUUGGGUCUGAGGUUGGGGUUUUAGUUUUAGUGGUUAAGUGGUAAUGGGUUUGGGGUUAUAAUGGAUGAGAGCUUUGGUCUAUUGGGCUUUGAGAUUGGGUUUAAAGGUGCAAGAUGAACUGUUUAUGAACCAUUUUAUUGGCCCGGACAAAUUAGGGGUCUUACAGUUACUACUAUAUUUAUACUAAUCACAUAUAAAUAUAUCGCUCAUCUAAAUUAACCCUAAGCAGAUGAUAACAAAGAUGGUGGAGAAAAGUGUGACGGGUAAGGGUUUAUAAAAAGAACGUAAGAAAAAUAAGAAAUGAAAGACAAGAGUGAGAAAAAGGGACGAAUGACAGUGUUGGCAGGGAACGCCACUCGAAUCCGGCAAAAUCUACAAUAAAAAGAAUAACUGCUAGGGUUUGCGGGAGGAAAAGAACACAAGAAGAUGAAAGAAGAGAUUAAAAGAAAAGAAGAAAAAGUUUGAGAAAAAAAAUGAGUAACUAAUUUAAUCAAUCUCUUCAACAGCAAGAACUCAAUUAAUAAAAAAAAA
rnacentral:lncRNA from 1 species